ACCUGGUCCCAUACUAUCUCUCCGACUUCAUCUCCUAUUGUCACCUCCCUUCCUUUCCAGCCACUCUGCCUCCAUGUUACUCUUCGAACUUCCAAGAAUACCAUGCUCUCCUGAGGACUUUUGCACCCAGACAGUUCUUCCUCAGAUGGCCACGUGGUCCAUCCUGUCACUUCCUGGGCCUGUGCUGAAAGACGCCUCCCUGUGAAGCCGUCCCAGAUCACUCGUAUGUGAUUGUAAUCCCCUUCUCCCAGUGCUAGCCGUUCUCCUUCCUCUGCUGUAUUUUUCUCCAUAACACACAUCACAAUCGGACACAACACAUAUUUGCUUGUUUGUUUUUUACCUGUUUCUGCCCUGGAGAAGGUAAGCUGUGACAAUGCAGGCCUUUUUGUUCACUGCUAUAACCCCGGUGCCUAGAAGAAUGUGUUGCACAUGGCAGGCCCUUGACACACAUUUAAAUAAAUAAACAAAGCAAUUAACCUUUCUGUGGGACCUUCCACUGAUUGUCAGGAUCUGAAUUCUCACCUCUGCCCUUCCUAGAUGUGUGAGUUUGGACAAGUCACGAACCCCUUUAGGCCUCUGUUUCCUUAUCUGAAAAAGAGCAUGUUGGACUAAAUGGCAUCUUAAAGUCCCUUAUGGCUAAAAUUUAGGGAGAAUCCCUGAAGGAAGUGGGACCUUGAGGUAAGGGCCUGAUGUCCAUGAUUCUCUCGCAGAAUUAAAGCCCUGCAUUCCAUUAAAGCCCUGCAUGCCACCUCUGCCCCCAGACCAGGCCUGGGCAGAAGCAGGGCCACCAGCCCUGCAGCUGGAAGCUAAGAGCUAGCCAGAAGGCUGAGGUCAAGGACUGAUGACUAAGAUGAAGGGAAAGAGAUGGACGGGGCAGAACUGGGGCUGCUGCGUUUUAUUUAAAUCCAUGAUAAGGAUCAGGAAGCAGGCAACAGCCCGAUGACACAUUAAUUAACUUUGCAGAUGAUACUGGAUCAGGAAGGUGUCCCAUCCACCCAUCUCAGCGAGAGAGAUGGGACAAAAGGACCUGAGGAGGGGUCAGGAAUUAGGCCAGGAAAUUACAACAAUGAACUUUGGCUGUGGCCAAGAGGGGAAAGGACUCAUGUUCUCUCGAGUGGAUUGGGGGUAGGGUGGAGAGGAUCUAUUUUCAGAACACAGAUAAGCAGUGGAUGGUAGGGGCUGGGAGUGGUGGCAGGGACCGCGAGGUCCCCUGGUUGUUUGAAUUGAUGUACUGAUCCCCAGUGGAGACAGAGCCUGUUUUCUUGCCACUGUGUUUGGAGGAAGGGGACGGGGUAAGGGACAGGGAAGAUAAAUGACAUUGAUGGAGCACCCACCAUGAACCAGGCACCAUACACAGUAUCUCAUUUAAACUCCGCAACAGCAAUGAUAAGACAAGAGGAAAUAAUGGGUCACAUAGACUAAGAAGUUUCUGAGAGUCACACUGCCAGAAAGUGGCAGAGUUGAGAUUCAGAUGUAGGAGGGAGGCGAUGGUCCCAAAGUGGGUUAAGGGCCCCAGGAGAAAAACCAGAGUAGCUGCCAGGUUAUCAAACUGCCUCUUCAUUUUUAGGACUGAAACCUAAGUAAGUAACAAGUACCCAAAAGAAGACUUUCAUUAGCACCCUGGGGUUCCACGGGUACUGGAAGUUUUCUUCUCUCCCUCCUGCUGGGACCAACCUGACCUUCCUAAGCAGUGCAGAGAAAGGAACGGGGAGGAAUGGAAGACUGUCAGGCAUCUGGACAAUGUGGAGGGGUGACGCCAAGGAAAAAAAAGUGUGAGAGCUCUUGCAGCCUGUUGUGGAAAAGAUACCAAAGGGCUCAAAGGCUCAGUUCUGUUCUGGCCACUAACCUCUCUGUCUUUGGUGAGAACAGGGUACUGAUGGAUUCUAGGUGAGUGAAUGGUCACCUCUGGGGUGAGCCAUUUCAGAGAAUACAGGCCCAUAGACAAGGAUAGGUACCCCUGAAGAGGGCUUGGGGUGUGCCCGGACUCAAGGGUGACAGACAUCUCUAUUCCUCUAGGGAGCUGACAGCUGGAGGCAUUCCUGAAACUCUAGCUAGGAACUCAGUGCGUGACCCAAAAGGGAAUCCCAAACAACAAGUCUAUGAUUGAGCAGUCUGUUUCUGGUUGGGUCAUGAUGCCACAACAAACGGCCCAAGUAGAGAAGGCUGCAGGCCCUGGGCAGGCCUGGUGAGAAGGGCUGACCCAAAGGACAGCCAUUGUGCUCCAAGCAGCAUGAGCAGGGCUCAGGGGCACCAUCGGAGCAAGGAUAGGAUCGGAGGGUGUGGAACCCGAGAGUUUCCCAGGAAUGGGGUGAAGGAAGGGUUGAUAGGAGCAGCACGGGGUGCCUGGGGGCCCGGGAAGGCAUUUCUGAGGCCUAGAGGAAGGACCUUCGUCAUCCAGGGACCCUGGGAGCAGAGCAGGGUCUCGGUAAACCAGAGAAGCCACACAUGUCCUGAGAGAAUGCACUGGGGGUCUCCCUGGAGGAGGCAAGACCCGGAAGCGGGUAGGCAGUAGGAAAGAAGCUGUAUGGAAUCACAGUCUGGCUCCCACCCAGCCUAGAAGUUAGAACAUUUUUGUUGACAUUCUUCUUGUUUGCAGCUCUGUAGCCAUGUUCUGUUUGCAUUAGCUCCCUGGUAAAAUUGCUCAGAAAACAUCCUUCUAGGCAUCUGUGUGUUUGCUAGAGGGGAAGAAAUAGUGUUUCCAGCCUGGGGUCAGAGGCUGGUGGUAGCCAGGAGAGGUGGUGGCAGGAACUGCCCCAAUUCCAGGCUAGAGAUGAACCAGCUGUGAUGGGGAUGGGGACUCUUCCGGAGCAGGAACAGUCAGGGCCUGGUCCUAUCCUGCCCGGGCAUGGACACGUCAGAGGCUUUAUCGUAAAUUGGGGAAAGCUUCAUGACACUACCUCCCACCCUGGCCUACUCCUGUUCUCACAUGGGGCUGUGAAAAUGACCAAUUUUUAAAAAUAUUAGAGAUGGAGUUGAUGGAAAUAUUCAAGCCAAAAGAAUGGUGACACCUCAACAGCUGACGUGCUGGGAGAAGGCUCCAGGGCCAGGGGCUCUCCUGGCCUCUGCGGAUGUCUGACUGGGCCACAGCCUACCUCCUACGCCCAGGUCUGGCCUCAACUUCUUGGUAACUAUAGCCAACCAGAAAUACCACCCAUAUUUUUCUCUGUGAUGGGGCUGCCUUGGGGAUGCCGAAGAGCAGUUUCUGAGCAGGGACACGACAUUUCUGUUGCUUUGUGGCUGACCUGGUCGGCACCUCAGGGUCUGAGAUACAGAUUCCAGUCACAAGCUGGUGGGCCAUUUAUACAAUCUGGUGGGGUAUAGCGCAGCAUUAUACACCAAGCCCCUAAACCUGGGUGAAGCAGAUCAUAUGUGAAAUGCACUGCAGAGGAACCCAGGUGAGUUUUUUUUAGAGGGCAGGCGGGAAGAAGGGGAGAGAGCAAAGACUGACUUGUGCAAAGACAGCUCUACAACAAGCCUCAAGGGAUAAAGCCUUCCAAGGACUAUGGGGAACAAGGUGAGGGGUGCAAAAUGCAGAUGCAGACACAGGAAAGAAGUGGAGGUUACAUUUUCCUCAAGAGAAAUGGAGACAGCUCUAGGGCUGGCAAAUUAAGUUAAGGAGGAGGAAUGUUCUAGGGAAGACAGCUUGGAGGAUAGGAGAAGCAUUGCUUUUAUGGGAGGUAGAAAUCAUAAGGUAUGGCAGUUUGAGGCUAUGCAAAUAUUCCCUGUGUGUUCUCCAAAUCCCAAAUGUCCUUUCUUCCUUUCAAGGCAUUGGAUCCCUGGGUCAUUCAUAGGAGCUGGUUUUCAGCGAGGUUCACCUUUACCAGGCAGCUCCAAAUAGUGAGGCCUAGAGGAAUCCCAUCCAAGCGGGAUUAAAAUUAUAGAAGUUUAAAACCUGAUUUUUUUCCAGUUAUCUGACCACAGAAGAGCUGCCAAUCUCUCUGGUCAUCUUGCCAACCCUGAAGAACCUCGGUCAAGUCUCCACCUGUUUUUCAGGCUUCAAAAGCUUUGGCAAGAGAACUACUCAGUGUGGCUGACAGGCCCUCCAGGGUCCUGUUCUGGCAUUCCCUAAGACUGUCUCUAGAGAAAUUGUUCAUAAACCGGGAGAUCUCCUCCCUUCUACCCCCAAAUACCCAUUGGAAGCUGGAAAGAAGGUUCUAGAAGAUUCCCAGUCACCAGCCCUGACUCCCAUGAAUUUACCUAACCUGUUCGCCUAAUCCCUCUGGCAGUGUGAGGCUUACAGAAGGGUGGAGGGGAAUUCUAUUCUCCUGGUACCACAGUAAACACUCAAAACUAUUUGAAACACCAGAACCUUGCACAAAAUUCUGACCUACUUCGAAUAACACCAAGUUCCACAUUUCCACUUUGAGAGUUUUCAGAGGAAGAACAGCAAAAUUAGGCAUAACAACCUAUCAAACAAACCACCAGCCAAAAACAAACCAAGACAAAAAACAGGCCAAACUAAAGCUUUAUGCUAUAAAAACAAGAAAUAAAAUAAGGAGAUUUAUAGGCCGGCUGAUUGUCAGCAAACACAAUAUAUUUACUGUAUUAGCAUUUGCUCACAGUGCAAAUGGUACAACAUUACACCAUUUCAAUAUUUCGGUUUUUAAAAAUGCUGUUUUCAUUAACUAUAUUAUAUUGGCAUUACAAUAUGACAAAGGAGCAAAUGAAAUGUUGGUGAAGAAUUUCACCUUUUCACAAUAUCAAGCAUAUUUUUUUAACCUUAGUAUAAGGUACUAUAAAUCCAAGAAAUAAAAACAUCCACAAAAUAUAUUACAUCUGGUUUGUCUUUUUUCUAAGUACUCAACUUUAUACAAAAGUCUUUCAAAAAAUAUCAUUCCCCAUAGGUUUUCCUGUUUAAAACCUGAUUUUUUUCUCUCAGUUCACAUAAGUUAGAGUGCAUUUUCUUUUGUUGCUUUUUUUUUUUAAACAUGCAGACAUAUAAAAAAUCUGGAUAGCACAACCUUUUGGCAACAAAGUUAUUUUUCUCUUAGUUUAGCUUAAUGUCUGAGAACAGUUUUAUUAAAACAAAGGAAAACUCAAUUAUCAUGCAGUGACAU
rnacentral:lncRNA from 1 species